rnacentral:rRNA from 1 species
GAUGAACGCUGGCGGCGUGCCUAAUACAUGCAAGUCGAGCGAACGGACGAGAAGCUUGCUUCUCUGAUGUUAGCGGCGGACGGGUGAGUAACACGUGGAUAACCUACCUAUAAGACUGGGAUAACUUCGGGAAACCGGAGCUAAUACCGGAUAAUAUUUUGAACCGCAUGGUUCAAAAGUGAAAGACGGUCUUGCUGUCACUUAUAGAUGGAUCCGCGCUGCAUUAGCUAGUUGGUAAGGUAACGGCUUACCAAGGCAACGAUGCAUAGCCGACCUGAGAGGGUGAUCGGCCACACUGGAACUGAGACACGGUCCAGACUCCUACGGGAGGCAGCAGUAGGGAAUCUUCCGCAAUGGGCGAAAGCCUGACGGAGCAACGCCGCGUGAGUGAUGAAGGUCUUCGGAUCGUAAAACUCUGUUAUUGGGGAAGAACAUAUGUGUAAGUAACUGUGCACAUCUUGACGGUACCUAAUCAGAAAGCCACGGCUAACUACGUGCCAGCAGCCGCGGUAAUACGUAGGUGGCAAGCGUUAUCCGGAAUUAUUGGGCGUAAAGCGCGCGUAGGCGGUUUUUUAAGUCUGAUGUGAAAGCCCACGGCUCAACCGUGGAGGGUCAUUGGAAACUGGAAAACUUGAGUGCAGAAGAGGAAAGUGGAAUUCCAUGUGUAGCGGUGAAAUGCGCAGAGAUAUGGAGGAACACCAGUGGCGAAGGCGACUUUCUGGUCUGUAACUGACGCUGAUGUGCGAAAGCGUGGGGAUCAAACAGGAUUAGAUACCCUGGUAGUCCACGCCGUAAACGAUGAGUGCUAAGUGUUAGGGGGUUUCCGCCCCUUAGUGCUGCAGCUAACGCAUUAAGCACUCCGCCUGGGGAGUACGACCGCAAGGUUGAAACUCAAAGGAAUUGACGGGGACCCGCACAAGCGGUGGAGCAUGUGGUUUAAUUCGAAGCAACGCGAAGAACCUUACCAAAUCUUGACAUCCUUUGACAACUCUAGAGAUAGAGCCUUCCCCUUCGGGGGGGCAAAGUGACAGGUGGUGCAUGGUUGUCGUCAGCUCGUGUCGUGAGAUGUUGGGUUAAGUCCCGCAACGAGCGCAACCCUUAAGCUUAGUUGCCAUCAUUAAGUUGGGCACUCUAAGUUGACUGCCGGUGACAAACCGGAGGAAGGUGGGGAUGACGUCAAAUCAUCAUGCCCCUUAUGAUUUGGGCUACACACGUGCUACAAUGGACAAUACAAAGGGCAGCGAAACCGCGAGGUCAAGCAAAUCCCAUAAAGUUGUUCUCAGUUCGGAUUGUAGUCUGCAACUCGACUAUAUGAAGCUGGAAUCGCUAGUAAUCGUAGAUCAGCAUGCUACGGUGAAUACGUUCCCGGGUCU